rnacentral:rRNA from 1 species
UACAUAGGGGCCAAGCGUUAUCCGGAAUUAUUGGGCGUAAAGGGUGAGUAGGCGGUUAGUUAAGUUUAAGGUAUAAGCAGAGUGCUCAACGCUCUGAGGCUUUAAAACUGGCUAACUAGAGUUAGAUAGAGGCAAGUAGAAUUCCAUGUGUAGCAGUAAAAUGCGUAAAUAUAUGGAGGAAUACCAGUGGCGAAGGCGGCUUGCUGGGUCUAUACUGACGCUGAGGCACGAAAGCGUGGGAGCAAACCGGAUUAGAUACCCGGGUAGUCCACGCCGUAAACGAUGAGUACUAAGUGUCGGAAGAAUUCGGUGCUGUAGUUAACGCAAUAAGUACUCCGCCUGAGUAGUACGUGCGCAAGCAUAAAACUCAAAGGAAUUGAC